UACGUAGGGCGCAAGCGUUAUCCGGAAUUAUUGGGCGUAAGGAGCUCGUAGGCGGUUUGUCGCGUCUGCCGUGAAAGUCCGGGGCUCAACUCCGGAUCUGCGGUGGGUACGGGCAGACUAGAGUGAUGUAGGGGGGACUGGAAUUCCUGGUGUAGCGGUGAAAUGCGCAGAUAUCAGGAGGAACACCGAUGGCGAAGGCAGGUCUCUGGGCAUUAACUGACGCUGAGGAGCGAAAGCAUGGGGAGCGAACAGG
rnacentral:rRNA from 1 species